AGAGUGGUUCCGUGGGCA
rnacentral:tRNA from 1 species